rnacentral:rRNA from 1 species
AUUGAACGCUGUCGGCAGGCCUAACACAUGCAAGUCGAACGAGUGGCGGACGGGUGAGUAAUGUCUGGGAACCUGCCCGAUGGCGGGGGCUAACUACUGGAAACGGUAGCUAAUACCGCAUACUAUCGGAUGUGCCCCGCUUGGAUUAGCUGGUAGGGGGGGUAAAGGCUCACCUAGGCGACGAUCCCUAGCUGGUCUGAGAGGAUGACCAGCCACACUGGGAAUGAGACACGGGCCAGACUCCGACGGGAGGCAGCAGGGGGGAAUAUUGCACAAUGGGCGCAAGCCUGAUGCAGCCAUGCCGCGUGUAUGAAGAAGGCCUUCGGGUUGUAAAGUACUUUCAGCGGGGAGGCGUUACGCGCAGAAGAAGCACCGGCUAACGCCGUGCCAGCAGCCGCGGUAAGUC